AUUGAACGCUGGCGGCAUGCUUUACACAUGCAAGUCGAACGGUAACAGGCCGCAAGGUUCUGACGAGUGGCGAACGGGUGAGUAAUGCAUCGGAACGUGCCCAGGCGUGGUGGAUAACUACUCGAAAGAGUAGCUAAUACCCCAUACGAUCUAUGGAUGAAAGCGGGGGAACGUAAGGCCUCGCGCGAUUGGAGCGGCCGAUGUCAGAUUAGGUAGGUGGUGGGGUAAAGGCUCACCAAGCCAACGAUCUGUAGCUGGUCUGAGAGGACGACCAGCCACACUGGAACUGAGACACGGCCCAGACUCCUACGGGAGGCAGCAGUGGGGAAUUUUGGACAAUGGGCGCAAGCCUGAUCCAGCAAUGCCGCGUGCAGGAAGAAGGCCUUCGGGUUGUAAACUGCUUUUGUACGGAACGAAACGGCUCUGGUUAAUACCCGGGGCUAAUGACGGUACCGUAAGAAUAAGCACCGGCUAACUACGUG
rnacentral:rRNA from 1 species